GCGGACGUGGGCGAAAUGGAAAGCCGGCUCGGGUCCACCGAUUAGACGCAAGUUCGAUUCUUGCCGUCCGCU
rnacentral:tRNA from 1 species